UGAGUUUUUUGAGGAAUGUGCUUUGAAAAGUCUAGUUUUCCAGAGGUGCUGAAGUGCUUGGCCUCUUCCUUAAUGUUCUUGCUGAUGUCUCUCUAAUGCCUGGCUGCUACCUGUGUAGAAGGAUGUUCUUGCCAUACUGAGGAGAAUCUUGCUAUCGAAGAGUAGAGGAUGAAACUUCCUUUGAACAAGCUUCAGCUGAAAACUAGAGCCGUAUGAGUAACUUUGCUGUUUGGU